rnacentral:misc_RNA from 1 species
UAGGAAUAAAAAAAUAAUAUAUAUAAUAAAAGAAUUGCAAGUUUAAUAAAGUACAUAUACAUAUCAUAUAUUAUAUGUUUUCAGCCUCAUCUAUUAUACUACAUUACUAUUUUACACUGCACAAGACCUAAGUCCUCCUCUAGCUCGAGACUAUUGAUUAAAAUAUUAUAUAACUCGAAUCAUAAUAUCACUGAUCUGAACUUCUUUAUAGCCUCGAACAUGCAUUUAAAACUUAAAGCCAUGGCUAGCUCCAUAUUAUCAUUCAAUAUAUAUCGAAUGAGCACGUGAUAUUCAGAAAAUUAGGUCAAGACAUAUAGACCUCUAAUCUCUUCGAUGCUCGAGUUUCACCCUUAUAAUGAUAUAUAAUCUUAUGAAAAUAUAUACCAUAGUAUAUAAUUAAUGCCCAUUACACUUGUGUACUACACUCACCUUUUCCAAAUCCCACUCUUCGAUUUCUCAAAUCAAAUUCUACCCAUAGAUUUUGCUGAUGAAAAUUGCCAAUAAUAUUACUUGCAAUACCAAGUGAUUCUGACCGUCCGAUCCCAACACAAUGGAUCCCACCCUCCACUUCAUCUAACAUCCUUUCCUUAUUGAUCAAAAUCUCAACUCCAUUUUCAAAUUGCAACGUCAUGUCACCUAUCAAUCGUCCAAUUUCCAUCGAAUGGACGCUAUCGAAACACAUGUCGAGCGCAUCACCAAACACGUAACCUCUCUUCAUUUUUCGACCAACUAACCUAACAAUUUCUUCUCGCACCUUAUUAUACGCUUCUUCCACCAAAAAAGUGUAUUCCGUGCCUGAAUCGACAAUCGUCUGACCUGAACCACCAGCAUUCGGCCGAAAAACUCUUGUAGAGAUAUUCAAUUUCUUUUCGCCAAUUUUUAUCCCUACCAUACCGACGGUGUAUGCUAGGGGGUCCAAAUUAGGCAUGCGUUGACUUUGAGGAAAAGUCAAUAAAUUCACGUAUCGAAACGUAUGUGAAUUCGGGUUUUGCCCUAGGUAGAAUGUUCCGGUAGGUUUAACCGUAUGGUUACCUUGUCGAAUCGGCACGCAAUACGAGAACUUUUGUACCUUGGCUUGGGAGGCAAAUGAGAACCUUCCAAGAUUCAUACCCAAAAUACCCUCAGCAUCAUCGGACUCGGUAGCGCAACCAAGAAUCAAAGGAGGGGUACUUUGGGAACGUGAAAAUGUAAUUUUUUCACGGACAAGAUUACCCUCAGCCAGAGUACCAUCAGCAUAAAAAUACGAGUAAUGACACAAUCGAUUUUGGUCACACGACGUUGGAAGGGUAAAAUCGGGAAUUCGCGGCUUACACAAAGGAUGACUACAAGGAAGGACGGAAAAAGAAGAGGAUAAAGAAGGAUCAAACGACGUCGUUGGCGGGGGUAUUUUUGGAAUUUUUUUAUGACACUGAAUCCAAGAAAGUUGACUACCAGUAUCCAAAACCAUUUGUUGAUUUUGUGGUGGUGUACCUAUAGGAAGUGUAAUAAUAAGAGCCAUAGAAUAUUUAAAAGUUGAUUUG